rnacentral:rRNA from 1 species
CAGCCGCCGCGGGAAUACGUAGGGUGCAAGCGUUAAUCGGAAUUACUGGGCGUAAAGCGCGCGUAGGUGGCCAUUUAAGUCCGCUGUGAAAGUCAAAGGCUCAACCUUUGAAAGCCGGUGGAUACUUGAUGGCUAGAGUACGGAAGAGGCGAGUGGAAUUCCUGGUGUAGCGGUGGAAUGCGUAGAUAUCGGAAGGAACACCUGUGGCGAAAGCGGCUCACUGGACCAUUUCUGACGCUGAUGCACGAAAGCUAGGGGAGCAAACAGGAUUAGAUACCCCCGUAGUCCCUGUCUCUUAUAC